UAGAGACGGGGUUUCACUGUGUUAGCCAGCAUGAUCUCCAUCUUCUGACCUCGUGAUCCGCCCGCCUCGGCCUCCCAAAGUGCUGGGAUUACAGGCGUGAGCCACUGCGCUUCUUCUUGAUCAAUUUAAGCCAAGUGCUCACAACAUACAUAGUUGAUGAUGUUUCUGGGAGCCUCCAGUUAAUUCCACACAAGGCUUCACAAAACAGUUGAACCGACAGCGACAACAAAAAGCCUCCCUGCAUAUAAUGAAAUGGCCUUAGAAAUUAUAAAGCCGAUUAGAAAUGCUGAUACAAGAAAUGUAGGGAGAAGUUCUUAUGUUCAUCAAGUGCCAUUACUGGCAAUGACCUUAAGUGAGGUCGUACUUGUAUGCAGCCAGCCUUGGGAACAGGCUGAGACCACUGCUGUGUGCAAUCUGUUGAUCUAAGUGAUAUUAAGUGCACACCCAAUGUACUGGUUUCUCUCAUCGAAAGAGGUACUAAAGUAACUGAACGGUGGGUAAGCCAAGGGUCAAGGGGAAUAACUAUCUACCCUCACUUACUUCAAGCAAGCACACUUGGACUGUGAAAGGAUAAGGUGUCUUGGGUUCAAGAAUGAGAUACUUUUUUCUUGGGGGAGGUGGGGUAAGAAGUAUUGAAGCAGUAGAGAAUUGACCUCACCAUUUUGUUUUUCUUUUUUUCUAUUAUACUCUUGAUAGGCAUUUGUUUCCAGAGCUUGGGUGUAAUGAGUACUUAAUUCAGUCACACCACGUGUAGUCCCCAGGGAGUUUUAGGAUAAAUGGCUAUUCCUUUUGCUAUCUGAGGUGCCAUUCUAAACCAGGGCGGGAAAUCAGGUUUGGACAACAGUGAAGAGAAAGGCAUUGGUUGCCUUGUAUGAUGAUGGUGAAUCAGGUAUUGAUCUUUUAAAUAAAUCAGAGAUAGUUUAGAGGUAGCAAAUAAAGGUAAAAGAUAUUAGACUUGGCAGAUUUAUAUCGGGCUGGUUUUAAUUUGCUAUGUUUUGAUCUCAUAAGGGAAGUUGAGAUAUCCAGCAGCUAACAACUACUAUGUGCAAUGAGCACAUGCUUGAAUAAUAAUUGUUAUGUAUGACUCACCUAUUAAGCAAAAGCAUUUUAACAAAUAAGCUCUCUAUAUAAUCACUUUAUAAGGUAGAUACUAUUCAUCCAAUAUACAAGAUGAGGAAACUGAAGUUCAGCAAGUGUAAGUAAUGUACUUAAGGUGACACAGAACUAAGUGCCAAAUCUAAGAUUCAAAUCUAAGUUGUCUGACUCUAAAACCAAUUCUCCUCUCACUACACUACUGGACAUAUCAAGUAAUAUGUGUUUUAACAAUGAUCUUUUGUAUAUUAAGCUUUUUUGUUCCCCUUGAAUUUAUAGUACCAUGAACCUAUUCGGCCCAUGGAAAGUUAGGCUUUGAAAUGACUUGGACUCAUCCAAUUUUGAGCUUUAAAUGAAAGCAUUCUAUGAAUGGUGGCUCCAGAUGACAUCUGACAUCCUAGUCCUCCUCAUACUGGCUUCCUCAUAUCAAAAAGCAAAUCAAUGGGUAUUAUCAUGAAUCUUAGUAAACUCAAUCUAUACGUUAGUGUUAAGUUCCAUUUAUGCUUCAAAAAUUCAAAUAAUAUCAAAAGAAACAAGCCUAAAAUAUGGUAUAUAUGUAUUAUGUUCUUGCAAUUGAAAUAUUUUGAAUUAUGAUUGUUGUUAUUGUUGUAUUUAAGGGAUUUUAAAACUUCAUCUUUACAGAUAUAUUUUAAUAAAGUUUUUCUGCACUUGA